rnacentral:lncRNA from 1 species
CGUUCAAAUUAAUAAACAAUCUCAAGAAAUAAUUUGGUCUUAUUUUGAUUUUCAAGGAGAAGGGAUUGAUACAUCUAUCUGUUACCAGAGAAGAAAACAGCAAUAUCAGCAAUAUUAAACAUCUCAGUGAAACAACUAAUUUCACACCAGCUUGCAGGGAGAGGACUAACAGAAAUAAUAGUGCUAUUGAACCAUUGCCUAAAUGUUGUGAUGUAGUGAGCCCCUACAUGUGGCAAGAUCUAAACGUGAUGAAGGCUGUCUCCCUACAUGUGGUGUGAAGAUGUCGUUAUGUGGUCUAAAAGGAGGCAGACUAGACAUUUAUAGCCUUUUCUUCCCCCCUCCUUCCCUAUCGGAGACUUUAAUUCCUGCCAGGAAGAAGGAUCCCAAGAUUUAUAUUCAAGGCUUAACUCCUUUUUCUACCCAAUAUCAGUUCCACAAUGAACUGAUAUAA